ACGGGAGGCAGCAGUGAGGAAUAUUGGUCAAUGGGCGGAAGCCUGAACCAGCCAAGUCGCGUGAAGGAUGAAGGUAUUAUGUAUUGUAAACUUCUUUAGACGUAGAGAAAUAAGCGGGACGCGUCCCGCGAUGCUAGUAUGCGUAGAAUAAGGAUCGGCUAACUCCGUGCCAGCAGCCGCGGUAAUACGGAGGAUCCGAGCGUUAUCCGGAUUUAUUGGGUUUAAAGGGUGCGCAGGCGGUCUUUUAAGUCAGUGGUUAAAUCGUGGAGCUCAACUCCAUCCCGCCAUUGAUACUGGAGGACUUGAUUGCGGUCGAGGUUGGCGGAAUUCGCCGUGUAGCGGUGAAAUGCAUAGAUAUGGCGAAGAACUCCGAUUGCGUAGGCAGCUGACCAGGCCGUAAAUGACGCUCAUGCACGAAAGUGCGGGGAUCGAACAGGAUUAGAUACCCUGGUA
rnacentral:rRNA from 1 species